CGGUGUAGCUCAGCUGGUAGAGCAGCUGAUUUGUAAUCAGCAGGUCGGGGGUUCGAGUCCCUUCGCCG
rnacentral:tRNA from 1 species